CACCGAAUGCUUGCAUUCACCGUAAGAAGUUGAGUGGCGGACGGGUGAGUAACACGUGGGUAACCUGCCUAAAAGAAGGGGAUAACACUUGGAAACAGGUGCUAAUACCGUAUAUCUCUAAGGAUCGCAUGAUCCUUAGAUGAAAGAUGGUUCUGCUAUCGCUUUUAGAUGGACCCGCGGCGUAUUAACUAGUUGGUGGGGUAACGGCCUACCAAGGUGAUGAUACGUAGCCGAACUGAGAGGUUGAUCGGCCACAUUGGGACUGAGACACGGCCCAAACUCCUACGGGAGGCAGCAGUAGGGAAUCUUCCACAAUGGACGCAAGUCUGAUGGAGCAACGCCGCGUGAGUGAAGAAGGUCUUCGGAUCGUAAAACUCUGUUGUUAGAGAAGAACACGAGUGAGAGUAACUGUUCAUUCGAUGACGGUAUCUAACCAGCAAGUCACGGCUAACUACGUGCCAGCAGCCGCGGUAAUACGUAGGUGGCAAGCGUUGUCCGGAUUUAUUGGGCGUAAAGGGAACGCAGGCGGUCUUUUAAGUCUGAUGUGAAAGCCUUCGGCUUAACCGGAGUAGUGCAUUGGAAACUGGAAGACUUGAGUGCAGAAGAGGAGAGUGGAACUCCAUGUGUA
rnacentral:rRNA from 1 species